UACGAAGGGGGCUAGCGUUGUUCGGAAUUACUGGGCGUAAAGCGCGCGCAGGCGGCUAUCCAAGUCAGUGGUGAAAGCCCGGAGCUCAACUCCGGAACUGCCAUUGAAACUGUUUAGCUUGAGGACGAGAGAGGUGAGUGGAAUUCCCAGUGUAGAGGUGAAAUUCGUAGAUAUCGAGAGGAACACCGGCGGCGAAGGCGGCCAACUGGACCACUACUGACGCUGAGACACGAAAGCGUGGGGAGCAAACAGG
rnacentral:rRNA from 1 species